AUACGGAGGAUCCGAGCGUUAUCCGGAUUUAUUGGGUUUAAAGGGUGCGCAGGCGGGAGAUUAAGUCGGCGGUGAAAAUUUGCAGCUCCACUGUAAAAGGGCCUUCGAAACUGGUUUUCUUGGGUGUAGAUGAAAUAGGCGGAAUUUGUGGUGUAGAGGGGAAAUGCAUAGAUAUCACGAAGAACUCCGAUCGCGAAGGCAGCCUUCCGGCCCGUCAACGACGCUCAUGCUCGAAGGUGCGGGUAUCAAACAGGAUUAGAUACCCUGGUAGUCCGCACAGUAAACGAUGGACACCCGCGGUUUGGCCUAUAUGGCUGAGCCGCCAAGCGAAAGCGUUAAGUGUCCCACCUGGGGAGUACGCCGGCAACGGUGAAACUCAAAUGAAUUGGCGGGG
rnacentral:rRNA from 1 species